rnacentral:rRNA from 1 species
GACGAACCGUGCGAACGUUAUUCGGAAUCACUGGGCUUAAAGGGCGCGUAGGCGGGCGCGAAAGUCAGGGGUGAAAGCCCACGGCUCAACCGUGGAAGUGCCUCUGAUACUUCGUGCCUCGAGGGAGGUAGGGGCGUGCGGAACUUCCGGUGGAGCGGUGAAAUGCGUAGAUAUCGGAAGGAACGUCGGUGGCGAAAGCGGCGCGCUGGACCUCUUCUGACGCUGAGGCGCGAAAGCCAGGGGAGCGAACGGG